AAUGAAAUUUUUCAGCAAGUAAUAUCUGAAAUGCAACAAAAAUGUGAAAAAAGAAAUGGGAGUAAAUGUACAUCUGAGCUGCAGAAUUUGGAGCUAGGGUCUGUCCUAAGAAAUUUGAAGAGAGAAAAUCAGAAACUUUUGUCUGAAAACAACGUGCUGUUUAUGAAAUUGCUCCAAUUUCAAGAUAUUGACAUCUACUCAAAGAAGUAUUGUACAAAGUCCAAACCAUUGUGCAAAGAAUUAAAAGCAAGUCAAGAAGUGUAAAAGAUUUUUUUAUUUGAAUGUAAAUAUCAUCAAUUAAUAUGAAACAAAAAUAAAAUUUUUCUCUGUUAAAACUCGAAUUUAUAAUUGCUUCUUUCAUGGUUUAAUAUUAAGGAAUAAAAAAAUACAUGUUCUCUCUUUUUUUUGGAUGGUGAGUGAUAUGAUUUAGAUAACUCAUUGUGAUGGGCAUAACUGAAUAGCCAUAUUGGAAUAAAUCGAUAACUCAGAAUACAUUCAUAAAAUUUUGAGUUUUGGUUGAGUACUUUCAGAAUUGAAAGAACCUUUUGAGUAGCCUACUUCUUGAGUGACAACAGAGUUGAAUGAACUUCUUGAGUAGUCCAGUUUACUAGGAGUGGGAAGGAGAGUCAACCCGCUCGGAGCUCUUGGUUUGAACAUAUAAGGUAACGCACUAGUAGUGGCCACAGUUAAGCAUAUUUUACGUUUUUUUUAAACUGUGGGUCUACAAUAUUAAUUCCAAUUUUUUAGCUCAAUGAACGUAUUAUAGCCCAACUAUUCCUGAAUCGUCCCAUAAUUGAAAAAUGCCAGAAUUUCAUUUUUUUUCAAUUUUUUAUCCAUUUUUUCCCAAGCUUCAAAUUUGAUCCAAUAGUGGCCACUCCAAAAUCUGAGAUUUUCAGUAGUGGCCACAUGCAAGAGUCAGUAGUGGCCAUCUGACAUCCUUUCUUUAGAAUUCACUUUAAAUUCAAAUAACUGAUAAAUAAAAUUGAUUCAAUAUGAUAGUUACAUUAAGUACCAACAUAUUAAUCAUUUUUAUUGUACAUUUCUUUCUUCAUUAGAAUAAAAAAAAAAGUUUUUUGUAGAAAAUUUGUACUUGUAUUUUUUG